CAUAAUGCAGAUUGGUUUUACAAACCAUAAUAAAUGAAUCGACAGUGCGCUUAAAAGGAAACUUUUUGCACCAAAACUUUCCCCGAAACAUGUGGGACAACAUCAAAUUUCGUAAGACACCUGCAAAGGCAUCACAAAGAGAGCAGUCCAGAGCAGGCAGCUGAAGGGAGCAGCAAGAAGAGAAGACAGUACACGGACAGUCACUUGUCAUACGGCUUCACAUUUUCGGGGAUCCGUUAUGUCCUCUUCCUCUAUGUCUGAUUGACAGAGAUGUUAUCUUUCUAAUGAACGACUCAGAUCUGGCCAGCUAUAUUCCCUCAUAUGGAGAUAGACUUGCUCUUUUAAAUUUUUGCCGCAGUCAAAAGCCUGCUUCCAAAAGGAAGUUGGGUCUGUUUGAAAGACUAAGAGAAAAGAUGAAACUGAGAAAGCAAUCCACAACUGAACCCCAAUCUGAAGAGACACCUGGGACUUCCAAACUCAAAUCCAGAUCCAAAGCAAGUAAGCGACAGAUUGAAAUCGGCUGGAUUCAUAUAGAUAACAAAGAAACAAAACAGGUCAGAACAAAACAAGGAGGGGGUACUAGAAAGGUCACAAUGGACAUUAAUGCAGGAUACAAUGACAUCCUUAAAGAAGGUAAAGACCUUUUCUUCCCAGAUGGAAAUUCUAGUAAGGGUCACGAAUGUGACUUUUCAUUUGAAGUUUGGGACUUCAGACAAAAUGUUCUUCCUAGUGAUGUCUCAACUGGCACAAUAUAUAAGACAGUGAAACUGCCAAAUUUGCGUUUCUACAUAGCUACUAGACCAAAGGAGUCAGAUGCUGAGUCUGAAAAUGAUGAUACUAGCAUUAUCUCACUACAUAGUGAUUACAGUGAAGAUUUCGCAGACUUUUCUACAGUCGCCACAAACAACUCCACAGAUUUAUCAGUUGUCACAGAUAUUCGAGUGGUACCAGGCCAGAACAUCCCAUUAGCUGAGGAAGUUUUCAUCAUGGCAGAUGAUGUAAUGAAUGUCCCAUUUAAUAUUUCUGACCCUGAAAUCACUUUUGGCCCUAACCCAGUGGAUGAAUCUGACCUGGAGAACACAUUUCACAUGCCUAACCUCAACAAACCACUGAAAUUCAAACAAAACAGAUAAUUAUACAUCAUGGAAACUGCCUCCAUGACAUGAUCAAUAAAUUUUCUGACCCGGAGACUUUGACCAGGCAACUGGCCUUUAGACGCUUGAUGCCAGACAAUUCAGAGGAAGCUGGCUGUGGGUCAGGGGUUCUGCGAGAUGUAUAUACGUCCUUUUGGCAGGAAUUCUACGAUCAAUGUACCCUUGGAACUACAAUGAAAGUUCCUUUCAUUAGACACGAUUUCCAAGCUGACACUUGGAAAGCUGUUGGCAGAAUUUUCCUUAAAGGUUACAAAGACUGCCAGUACAUUCCAAUAAAGCUAGCACCCCCUUUUUUAGAGGAGAUGCUUUUUGGUGCAGUGUACAGUGACCUGACAGAUUGCUUCCUUCAGUUUGUAGCACCCAAGAACGAGAAAUUCUUCAGCACGCAUCACAGGAUUUCUCUUCGGUUGAACAUGAUGAUCUGUUGGAAGUUCUUGACAGUUACGAAUGCCGCAGAAAAGUCUCUGCUGAUAACUUCUCAGAAAUUCUGAAGGAGAUUUCCCACAAAGAGCUUGUCCAAAAGCCAAUGUUUGUGUUAGACUGUUGGAAGGACAUCACACAAUCACAGAUCUCCCUGACUUUUGAGGAGCUGCAAGAGAUGUAUGCUAAACUCUUCCCAACAACUAAAAAGGUCACAGGACUUUUGAAGUUCCCUGAUGAUAUGACAGCAAAGCAGAAGUGGCAAAUCAUCUGAAAAAGUACAUAAAAGAAUUGGAUGAUGAGAAACUAGGAAAGUUUCUGAGGUUCUGCACAGGAUGUCACUUGAUUGUGUCAGACCGCAUCUCUGUUGAGUUUGCAGUAAUGUCGGAUUUUACAAGGCGCCCUAUUGGCCAUACAUGUGGGAUGUUUCUUCAGCUGUGUGAGAGCUAUGAGAAUUUUCCAGACUUCCGUGCUGAAUUUAAUGCUGUUUUGGAGAGCAAUAUUUGGAUAAUGGACAUAGUUUAACAUGUUGUUCUCAAAACUUGACUCAGAACGUCUGAAAGUCAUUUUGAUUUCUGGUUUCGGUUAGGUCAGACCUUCAGCAUAAGUUAAAGACACACAUUUACCUUUGUUUGUUUUAGAAAUGUUGCCAAUCUUAGCUUGAAGACAAUUAUGUUACGGUCUUGGUCUGGUCUAGGUAUUUUUUGCACAUGGGUUGUUUUGUGGUUUGUCGAGCAUGUGGAUAGCCUGUGGCUGAUCCUGUGCUCGGUGUCUGCGUGUCUCUCCCCGCCCCGUGUCUCCUUAGACUUCCCCGCACUGGUGAAUUUCCACUCCACACUCACACGCCUGCUGUCUCAUUUCUCAUUUAGCUUUUGUUCCCGGUAAUUGCCCCACACCUGUCUGUUAUUACUUCUCGUUAUGUUUUCCCAUAUAUUCCCUUUGUGUCUCUCGUCUGUUGUCUGACCGUUGUUUUCGUAACCUGUUCAGACUGACCCAGACGUUGCCGCGGCACGUCUGAUGAAAUUCUAAAUCCUUGUCAUAGUCACAGUCUUUGUCUUGUUCAUUUGUCUGCUCACCUUGUCUGUUGCCUCAGUACCUCCUUGUCGUCUGAUAGCUCCCGUGGGCAUCCAGUGCAGCUACGGCCGUCGUCUGCCAGUGGUUUCCCGGAGAUUUGUAUAUCCAGAGUCGCACCAGGAUUGACUUCCGGAUCUCCUACACGGCACCCGGGCUGGGUGAGGAAGCCCUGCUCUCAUCCUUGGUCCUGGCCACCGUGCCCGACUCCUUCCGGGAUCUUCUCUUCUCACCACCAGCAUCCACGAACUGUACCACAUCUUACCACCGCGGGCUGAAACGCUCGCGGUUGGGUUAUUAUUCCUUGUCAGUUGUGCCGUCAAUAAAGUUUGGUUUACCGCAUCUGGGCCGUCUCUGUGCUUCAAUCAUGACAAAUUAUGCAAUGCUGUGAAUUAAGAAUGUACUGUAACUGCUUGAUCACAUUUAAAGCAGUUAAUGUGUCAAUAUAAUGAUGAUACACGUUAAUACAAAACAUGGCUAAAAAAAAUUAGAACUUUAUUGUCCAGCAUCAUACACUGUUUAUACAUGUAUUGUAUGCUAAGAGGUUUUAUUGUUCGUUUCAGUGCAGAGAGUUAUUUUAGUUGCUGUUAAAAGGCAAGGAGUUCUUCUUGUCAGUAAAAA